GGGCAUGGGAAGAGUUUCCUAAGGGGCAUGGACUCCUUUUGGCAUAAGAGUUUGUUGGAUGCACCAACUCUUUGGUAUCCUCACUUCAAUGCAUCAACUCUUUGAUGUGUCAAAUCUCUACAGAGUCCCCAAGUGUCCAAACUCUUUAGGCAUCCAACUCCUUGAUGGAGGACUCUUGCUAGCCUUAGGCAUCCAAAAUCCAUGUUGCGUGGAAAGCAUUUUGGCGUGAGGAAAGGUGGGUGGC
rnacentral:lncRNA from 1 species